AGACCAUGAUGAGGAUAAUAUUGAAGCAAUUCUUUGUAUCUUUCCCAAGCCUCGUACAAUGACUCAAAAUCUUGUUGGACGAAUGAUGUGAUGUCAUUCCACAUUUU
rnacentral:snoRNA from 1 species